rnacentral:lncRNA from 1 species
AUUAAUAUUAACAGGCUCAAAAGGAGUAGCUAAAAGGCCACCAAAACAGACAAAAAAGAAAAUCACAGUUGUCCAAUAUAAAAGAAAAUUAAAAACUAUGCCUAGAAAGUAACGAAACAUCAAUAAGCAGAAAACGUGUGAGCCUGCAACAAAACUUUUCAAUCUCCAUUAUCAGCCACAGCAGGGCUCCAUUUCAUUCGGAAUUAUCGAUCAGAGCCCGAGAGCCAGCAACGCUUUGCAAACAAUAUUAGAGAUUCAAUGAACCUUCUCUAACUCAAAGCGAACAUAUGGAACUUAGGUCCGUUGGCACCAUCGUAACCAGUCUUCCUCCACCACCAGUCGCACAGUCUCCGGUAUUCCAUUAACCCAGGCUCCACACACUUUCUGAUUCCGACCUUCCACUGCCAAAAUAUGGGCUACAGCGUUAAGCGGACGGUUCACAAACUUGUAAGAGACUUCAUCAAAGCCCUAGCGCAAUCUAUGAAUAUUAUGAACAAUCGACCUAAUAAUCGAUCUAUCUUUCUCAUUUUUAAUCAGUUUUUUAAUGACUGUCAGGGAGUCCCCUUCCACAAUCAACCGUCGAAAGCCCUUCAAUUUUGCGAGGAUCAGCGCUCUUUCACAAGCUCGUGCUUCCGCCACGAAUGCGUCGUCCACACCUUCCACCAGAUAAGUAACUGCUUCUAUAACUUCCCCUCUGUGAUUUCUGGCUAAGAUUGCUAUUGUCGCAAAAUUAUUUCCUGGAAUAUACGACGCAUCAAAAUUAAUUUUAAUAAAACCAUAGUCAGGAGGCCUCCAAACUUCAUUUCUCAUAAGAGCAGUAGAAACACAUAGAUUCUCACGAACAAGCCAUAGAUCUUGCUCAUAGCCCCUGAUAAAUCCCAAUAGUUGUGGCAUAGAAAGCUUAGUCCCCUCAUGAACCAACUUAUUUCUAUGAAACCAGAAACACCAAAGAGAUAAAGCAAUAAACCUUUUUU